rnacentral:rRNA from 1 species
ACUCAAAGGAAUUGACGGGGCCCCGCACAAGCGGUGGAGCAUGUUGUUUAAUACGUCACUAACCGUAGAACCUUACCAGGGUUUGACAUCCGUCGCACCGGUGUGAAAGCAUCGUUCCCCGCAAGGGGACGGCGAGACAGGUGUUGCAUGGCUGUCGUCAGCUCGUGUCGUGAGAUGUUGGGUUAAGUCCCGCAACGAGCGCAACCCUCAUCCCAUGUUGCCAGCGAGUAAAGUCGGGAACUCUUGGGAAACUGCCGGGGUAACUCGGAGGAAGGCGAGGAUGACGUCAAGUCAGCAUGGCCCUUACACCCUGGGCUACAAACAUGCUACAAUGGACGGUACACAGAGCGACGCAAGACCGUGAGGUGGCGCCAAUCGCAAAAAUCCGUUCUCAGUUCGGAUCGUAGGCUGCAACUCGCCUACGUGAAGUCGGAAUCGCUAGUAACCGCAGAUCAGCGAAGCUGCGGUGAAUACGUUCCCGGGGCUUGUACACACCGCCCGU